UACAGAGGCCUCGAGCGUUAGGCGGAAUCACUGGGCUUAAAGCGUGUGUAGGCGGACUUCUAAGUACCUUGUGAAAUCCCACGGCUUACCCGUGGAACGGCUGGGUAUACUGGGAGUCUUGAGCCACCUAGGGGCGAGUGGAACAAAUGGUGGAGCGGUGAAAUGCGUAGAUAUCAGGAGGAACACCGAUGGCGAAGGCAGGUCUCUGGGCCACUACUGACGCUGAGAAGCGAAAGCAUGGGGAGCGAACAGG
rnacentral:rRNA from 1 species